CUGUUCAUGCUUUUUGUAGAG
rnacentral:misc_RNA from 1 species